rnacentral:rRNA from 1 species
GACGAACGCUGGCGGCGUGCUUAACACAUGCAAGUCGAACGGAAAGGCCCUGCUUUUGUGGGGUGCUCGAGUGGCGAACGGGUGAGUAACACGUGAGUAACCUGCCCUUGACUUUGGGAUAACUUCAGGAAACUGGGGCUAAUACCGGAUAGGAGCUCCUGCUGCAUGGUGGGGGUUGGAAAGUUUCGGCGGUUGGGGAUGGACUCGCGGCUUAUCAGCUUGUUGGUGGGGUAGUGGCUUACCAAGGCUUUGACGGGUAGCCGGCCUGGGAGGGUGACCGGCCACAUUGGGACUGGGAUACGGCCCAGACUCCUACGGGAGGCAACAGUGCGGAAUAUUGCACAAUGGGCGGAAGCCUGAUGCAGCACCGCCGCGUGCGGGAUGACGGCCUUCGGGUUGUAAACCGCUUUCGCCUGUGACGAAGCGUGAGUGACGGUAAUGGGUAAAGAAGCACCGGCUAACUACGUG